GACGAACGCUGGCGGCGUGCUUAACACAUGCAAGUCGAACGGAAAGGCCCUGCUUUUGUGGGGUGCUCGAGUGGCGAACGGGGGAGUAACACGUGAGUAACCUGCCCUUGACUUUGGGAUAACUUCAGGAAACUGGGGCUAAUACCGGAUAGGAGCUCCUGCUGCAUGGUGGGGGUUGGAAAGUCUCGGCGGUUGGGGAUGGACUCGCGGCUUAUCAGCUUGUUGGUGGGGUAGUGGCUUACCAAGGCUUUGACGGGUAGCCGGCCUGAGAGGGUGACCGGCCUCAUUGGGACUGCGAUACGGCCCAGACUCCUACGGGAGGCAGCGGUGGGGAAUAUUGCACAAUGGGCGGACGCCUGAUGCAGCAACGCCGCGUGCGGGAUGACGGCCUUCGGGUUGUAAACCGCUUUCGCCUGUGACGAAGCGUGAGUGACGGUAAUGGGUAAAGAAGCACCGGCUAACUACGUG
rnacentral:rRNA from 1 species